rnacentral:misc_RNA from 1 species
UCUCCGUAGGUGAACCUGCGGAGGGAUCAUUACCGAGUGAGCGCUCCGGCGCGACCUCCAACCCCAUGUUUUCCGACUCCGUUGCCUCGGGGGCGACCCGGUCCUCUGGGUCCGGGGCCCCCGGUGGACCACCCAACCCUGCAUCGUUGCGUCUGAGUCGAAAUAUAAAUCAAUCAAAACUUUCAACAACGGAUCUCUUGGUUCUGGCAUCGAUGAAGAACGCAGC